CAGAAACCAUGCCUUCGUGUCUGCUCAGGCUUUUGCAGAGACAUACAAUUCUGUCUUCCACAACGAGCAUCCUCACAUGAAACAGUUCAUUGCAUGGCAGUGUCAUAUGAGACUCACAAAUACAAAUGGUAGUCAAUGAAGUCAUCCUGUCUCAGAACAAGACCAGAUGGGGUGUCAUGAAGAACGGUGUUUUUGAGGAGAAAACCAACUUUGCGUUUCAACUGAAAUACAGUGUCACUAAGCCACCACAUUACCAUCUGGGCCAGGAUAUGUUGUAGACAUAGUCAGAUCUGCUGACAACAAGCAAGGGACUGCCUGGUUUUUAGGGUCUCAGCCACAAACAGAUGUAGCCCACUUUGUGAAGGGAUUGCAGUCCUCAUUCAGUGUAGAUGGUAUAAUGGAAGAUGGUGGUCUAUUUUCAACUUUCACUAAGAAGGAGCUUCUACACCUUAUGACAGCAGCAGACAGAACUCUGCGAGAACAAGAUGAUGCAUUGUUCAAGAAGACGCUUGUUCAGUACGUUGAAAGACAACGUAACAGUGACAUAACUCUGCUAAACCCUAAUCAAAUGUUCUCUGGGGCCGGUGUUGAGGUGAG